CAACUUUCAACAACGGAUCUCUUGGCUCUCGCAUCGAUGAAGAACGCAGCGAAAUGCGAUACGUAAUGUGAAUUGCAGAAUUCAGUGAAUCAUCGGAUCUUUGAACGCACCUUGCGCCCCUUGGCAUUCCGAGGGGCACACCCGUUUGAGUGUCGUGA
rnacentral:rRNA from 1 species